UACGGAGGAUGCAAGCGUUAUCCGGAAUGAUUGGGCGUAAAGCGUCCGCAGGUGGCUGUGUAAGUCUGCUGUUAAAGAGUGAGGCUCAACCUCAUAAAAGCAGUGGAUACUACACGGCUAGAGUGCGUUCGGGGCAGAGGGAAUUCCUGGUGUAGCGGUGAAAUGCGUAGAGAUCAGGAAGAACACCGGUGGCGAAAGCGCUCUGCUAGGCCGCAACUGACACUGAGGGACGAAAGCUAGGGGAGCGAAUGGG
rnacentral:rRNA from 1 species